AGCAGCCGCGGUAAUUCCAGCUCCAAUAGCGUAUAUUAAAGUUGUUGCAGUUAAAAAGCUCGUAGUUGAAUUUUGGGUCUGGCCGGACGGUCCACCUUUCGCGGGUGAGCACUGCUCCGACGUCGGGCCUAUCCUUCUGGUGAGACGGCAUGCCCUUCGCUGGGUGUGUCGGGGAACCAGGACCAUUACCUUGAAAAAAUUAGAGUGUUCAAAGCAGGCAUUUGCUCGAAUACAUUAGCAUGGAAUAAUGAAAUAGGACGCGUGGUACUAUUUUGUUGGUUUCUUAGGACCGCCGUAAUGAUUAAUAGGGAUAGUUGGGGGCAUUAGUAUUCAAUUGUCAGAGGUGAAAUUCUUGGAUUUAUUGAAGACUAACUUCUGCGAAAGCAUUUGCCAAGGAUGUUUUCAUUAAUCAAGAACGAAAGUUAGGGGAUCGAAGACGAUCAGAUACCGUCGUAGUCUUAACCAUAAACUAUGCCGACUAGGAAUCGGGCGAUGUUAUUCUAACGACACGCCCGGCGCC
rnacentral:rRNA from 1 species